rnacentral:rRNA from 1 species
CAAGUGCGGGCGUGGCUAUACAUGCAAGUCGAACGCUUCUUUUUCCACCGGAGCUUGCUCCACCGGAAAAAGAGGAGUGGCGAACGGGUGAGUAACACGUGGGUAACCUGCCCAUCAGAAGGGGAUAACACUUGGAAACAGGUGCUAAUACCGUAUAACAAUCAAAACCGCAUGGUUUUGAUUUGAAAGGCGCUUUCGGGUGUCGCUGAUGGAUGGACCCGCGGUGCAUUAGCUAGUUGGUGAGGUAACGGCUCACCAAGGCCACGAUGCAUAGCCGACCUGAGAGGGUGAUCGGCCACAUUGGGACUGAGACACGGCCCAAACUCCUACGGGAGGCAGCAGUAGGGAAUCUUCGGCAAUGGACGAAAGUCUGACCGAGCAACGCCGCGUGAGUGAAGAAGGUUUUCGGAUCGUAAAACUCUGUUGUUAGAGAAGAACAAGGAUGAGAGUAACUGUUCAUCCCUUGACGGUAUCUAACCAGAAAGCCACGGCUAACUACGUGCCAGCAGCCGCGGUAAUACGUAGGUGGCAAGCGUUGUCCGGAUUUAUUGGGCGUAAAGCGAGCGCAGGCGGUUUCUUAAGUCUGAUGUGAAAGCCCCCGGCUCAACCGGGGAGGGUCAUUGGAAACUGGGAGACUUGAGUGCAGAAGAGGAGAGUGGAAUUCCAUGUGUAGCGGUGAAAUGCGUAGAUAUAUGGAGGAACACCAGUGGCGAAGGCGGCUCUCUGGUCUGUAACUGACGCUGAGGCUCGAAAGCGUGGGGAGCAAACAGGAUUAGAUACCCUGGUAGUCCACGCCGUAAACGAUGAGUGCUAAGCGUUGGAGGGUUUCCGCCCUUCAGUGCUGCAGCUAACGCAUUAAGCACUCCGCCUGGGGAGUACGACCGCAAGGUUGAAACUCAAACGAAUUGACGGGGGCCCGCACAAGCGGCGGAGCAUGUGGUUUAAUUCGAAGCAUCGCGAAGAACCCUACCACGUCUUGACAUCCUUUGACCACUCCCUA